UUUGAAAACCCUGUUGAUUAUCUAUUGUUGCUACGAUGCAGAUCUUCUGCAGGUGUUUCUGGAGAAGAAAUACUACUUGUAAAACACAUAUAAUGUUACUCCCUUCUCCCCUAAAUAGAGGGCAAAACAGAGUACAAUCAAUGAUACAAGCUUUGCAUAAGCUUAUAGCCUAUAUAUAUGCCUCAGGACCAGACCAAGAUACCUCAUAAAGGUUCUAACACAUCGAACGCCCGCCACCUCCCCUCUGCUCAACCCACGGCCUCGCCGCUGCCAGAGCAGGGCGGCGGCGCUUCCCGCGCGCCCCUGCUAGGACGGUGUUUCAAUUGUGCGCACCUCUUCAACGUCAUCCUAUCGGCCGCCGACUGCUUCAACAAGUGGGCCGGCGCAGAUCCUGUGCGGCAAGAAGUCGGAUGCCUCCGCCCUCACCCCGCGGUACCAACCGUUGCAGAGACAUUCUCACGCGGGUGCGGCGGCUCCGCGCUCCGUCAAACCGAUCGGCCCCAUCGUGGACCUCUGGCUGGUCACCGUGGGCCACGUCAUGGCGUGCUACUCCUUCCACGUUAGCGAUGCAGUGAUGAAGAAUCUCCAGCAGCGGAUUGGUCGCCACGGCGCUACACGAGCGCCGCCGCCGUCGUGGCCGGUGGCUCGAGCUCCGGAUUUGGUGUAUGUGGCAUGUGAGGAGAUGGUGGCGAGCUGGCUGUGUCGGUUGGCAUGGCGGCGGGAGGAGAUGGGGCCUGGGGACGUCCGCCCGAGCGACCGACGCCUGGCAGUUGUGGCUAGCACCGUCGUCCUUUGACUGGGAGGGACAGGGCUAUGUGUAGGUGAGCUCUUAGCGCGGUGACACAUGAUGCAACUACGACGACGCGGUGGCUAGGACCUACCCUGGUGGCUGGAUCCGGUGCCCCUAGGUUAGAGGGCAGCGCCGGUGGUGUUGCCCAUGGUCCGGCAUUGGCUCCGACGCGUGACAAUAUGACACAUGUGGCAAGGUGUUGCCCGGAUCCAUGUGCCCAGCCAGAGGGGUUGGCGUCUGACACAGCUUUGCGGCAGCUGGCAUGUCAAUGCCCCUCUGAAAGGGUUUGCGCGGGAUGUCUGAGCAAAGACGACGGAGACAACAUGUUAUGUCUCAGGGUCUUGGCCUGACGUUUGUGCUGGGGCAUCUUGGGCAAAAGCGUUGUUGAGUUCGUCGCAAUCCCCAGUACGGUCUUCCAUGGGUGAAAGCUAGAUCCAUCUCGGACGGGUGGCGGUGGCGUCCCUGACAUCGCUCCCUUCCUGAAGUAUGCGGCUGGAUGUUGGGUCUUGCUUCGUGGAGUCGGAGGUGCUACGUUAGGGGAUAUGGCUCGACAACGAUAACAUGAGACGACUCCCCUUCUUCGUGGACUAGAUUGUUCCGGAGGUUGGGCAAAAGCCAGAAGCGACGCAGAGGAUCAAGGUUGGAUGGUGAAGGAUCAGUGCUAUCUCGCGUGGGGUUGUCUCUUUCUCCUUGUUUGUUAGUGUUUGGUUCAAGUCGAUUUCCUUUGGCCUUGUGUGGCCCGUUUUGAGAGUUCAGAGUUGUUUGUCUCUUGUGUUAAGCAGUUUAAAGCUAUUCGUCUUGACAACGACGUUGGAUGAGCUUUGUGUAUCAGGCUAUUGUUGUCUAGUUUGUUGGUAGGGCCUGUGUAGGUUUUGGAGCCAAUUUUUCUAAAACUAGGUCAAUUACAUUCUUCUUAAUUGAAAUUGAAAGAGACAGAGCC